GGACUCUUAGCUUGGAGUGUGCAGCUGUGUUUGCGUACAGGAAGGGGUGGGGGGUGACUGUCCGGCCUCUGGCCGCUGUCCAAGUUCUGCUUUCUUCUGUCCUUGCUCCUCCUAACUGGCCGCCCUUGCAAAUUCUCUAUACUGGGGGGGGGUGUCUGCAGAUGAGGAGCCCCCCUUGUUGUCCUCCUCCUCUCCUGGAGCCAGGGGGCUGCAGAGGGGAAGGGGCCGGCCAGCCAGCCAGCCAGUGGCCUGGUACAUCCCUCCAUCUGCCUGCGCCGGGGUCUGUUCUAUAAUAAGAGUCUUUGGCAGCUGUUUUGUGCCUUGGCUGCUUGCCAGCCUCCCGGCAGUUGCACUUGGAGAAAGCCUGUUGCCUCCAUUUCCCACCUCGUCCGCUCCAGCUCCUUGCUUGUCCCACGUUGGAGGCAGCAAUUCUUCUGAAUACCAGUUGCUGGCAACUGCAAACAGUGGUACCUCUGGUUACAGAUAGGUAGCCGUGUUGGUCUGCCAUAGUCAAAAUUCGUAUCUGAAGAAGUGUGCAUGCACACGAAAGCUCAUACCAAGAACUAACUUAGUUGGUCUUUAAGGUGCUACUGGAAGUGGUACCUCUGGUUAGGUACUUAAUUCAUUCCGGAGGUCUGUUCUUAACCUGAAACUGUUCUUAACCUGAAGCUCCACUUUAGCUAAUGGGGCCUCCUGCUGCCGCUGCGCGAUUUCUGUUCUCAUCCUGAAGCAAAAUUCUUAACCCGAGGUACUAUUUCUGGGUUAGUAGAGUCUGUAACCUGAAGCGUAUGUAACCUGAGGUACCUCUGUAUAAGUGCUGGAGAUGCAAAGAGGUUGAGGGAAUGCUUUUUCAUAUGGGGUGGACUUUUAAAAGGGUAAGAGAGUAUUGAGAAAUGAUCCAUAAUGAAUUGGGGGGAAAAUGUUUAAAAGUACUUUCCAAAAAACCCCCAGAGUCCUUUCUGUUGGGGAUAAUUCAGACUGAAAUUCCCAGGCGUCAAAAAA
rnacentral:lncRNA from 1 species